GACGAACGCUGGCGGCGUGCCUAAUACAUGCAAGUCGAGCGAAGUUUUUCUGGUGCUUGCACUAGAAAAACUUAGCGGCGAACGGGUGAGUAACACGUAAAGAACCUGCCUCAUAGACUGGGACAACUAUUGGAAACGAUAGCUAAUACCGGAUAACAGUAUUUCUCGCAUGAGAGAUAUUUAAAAGUUGGUUAUGCUAACACUAUGAGAUGGCUUUGCGGUGCAUUAGCUAGUUGGUGGGGUAAAGGCCCACCAAGGCGACGAUGCAUAGCCGACCUGAGAGGGUGAUCGGCCACACUGGGACUGAGACACGGCCCAGACUCCUACGGGAGGCAGCAGUAGGGAAUCUUCCGCAAUGGGCGAAAGCCUGACGGAGCAACGCCGCGUGAGUGAAGAAGGAUUUCGGUCCGUAAAGCUCUGUUGUUAGGGAAGAAUGGAUAUGUAGUAACUAUACAUGUAAGAGACGGUACCUAACCAGAAAGCCACGGCUAACUACGUG
rnacentral:rRNA from 1 species